AUGAAUAUCUGACAAUAAAAAAAUUAUACCUCUAACAGAAUUGUUUCAACUUUGUCAAUGUGUUGGCUGGUUCAAUAGUAGGCCGACUUAUGGCUCUAAUAAAAUUUUCAAGUAUUCGCACUGUCUUGAACCAGUGUGCAACAGUUUGGGGCCCGCCUGGCUGCGGCUGCGGCGGCGACUGUGGCUGCAGUUCGUCAAGCCAUUCACACACGAUUUAGCGCCAGCGUCGCCAUCGCCACGGGAACUCAUGUGAUGAAUUUGCCGCCAAGACAGCGUCGCCAACUCGCUGCCAGUCAGAGUCGGAGUUGGAGCUGAAGUUGGAGUUGGAGCCGCCAAAGCUAUUGCUGUUGUUGUUGGUUUUGUAGGAUUUGCUGGCGGCAGCUGGCGGGUUGUCUGUUGGCCAGCUCAAAAAAACACUUUCGCUCUCAUAUGCGGACACACCCGAGAUGCGGCUCAAGGAGUUCAGAGCUCAAGCAAACAUGCCACACAAUUAGGACUUUGCCGACUCGGAGACGGAGACUUGACAAAUCAACAGAAAAGUCUCGGCGGGCCACUUGAUGAAUAUGGCCCCAAAGAGCAACCAAUUGGGGGCUAAACUCAUUAGAGCUGCCAAGCGGCCAGACAAAGCAUUUAUUAUAAGUCAGCGUAGUCUAGUAGAGAUCCGAGAUCCGAGAGCAGACCCCAGACCUGGCCAUUGUUGUCUGCGCAGGCGCAACGCCUACCCAAACUGCCUGCUGCUGUUUUUUAUGGCCACGGCAAAUAGCUGCUGCUCAGCCAGAAGCACGCGCCUGGGCCGCAUUGUUUAGCUUGGCUUCGCGUCUGAGUGUUUCCCUGACUGACUAACUGACUAACUGACUGACUGAGUGAGUAAGUGUGUACGAAUGCUGCGCAGGCGUAGCUUUUAUUGUUAUUGUUAAAGUUACACAAAAAAAUCAACAAAAAUUGUUGGCAAAAUAGCAAAAAUGGAGCUGAGCACCGAAAGGUCGAGGACGUGCCGACUGGGUGUGGAAAAUCUUGAAGCCAUUUAAAUUAGCAUACCCUUUCGACAUUAAAUAGGGCAUACUAGACAUCUCCGAACACAUUCCAAUUUAAGCAUAUCGAUCAUGUUUCUUUACCGAUACUUGGUCUUCCGCUUAGCCUUUUCGAUCGAAAUCGAUUUCUUGUUCCUUUAUUCAGAGUGAUGUCACGAUCUUUGGCGAGCUCUAAAUAAGACUUAAAAAGCUCUAAAAAGCUUCGUGUUGAUUUUAUCUUAAACAAGCGAAAUUUUUUCUUCCCAAUAUCCGCAGUUAUGAAUGGCUUUGGGUAUUGUCUACAUAACGUUUCGAUAGGCAACUAGUUCAGGCCACGUUGCCAUUUAGCUGACCAUCGUUUAUGCCACAUUUAAGUCAAUCGCAGUUAACAAACGGCUGCAAAAACAAUUGCUGCCAGCGCUGUGGCAUAAACAGUUAACAUCCCUAUAAUCAGCUAACAAUUUGCCACAGUCAGCCACAAAAGUAUGGCAACAUGAAACUUCCUCAUUGCCAGAAACCGAGCCGAAUCGAAACGAAACGUGGCCCAUUGCAUAAGUUAGCAAAUCGCAAAUUGCAAAUGCAACCGCUGAAUGUGGCAAGUUUAUGAAAGAAAACAGAAACAAAUUAUGAAGAGAAAAAAAUUGGAUGAGCUCAGCCAUGUGUUUAUGAAUGGAAGCGAAACAUAAAAACAAAUUCCAGACGAGACAUGGAACCAAAUAGAAAGAAAACUAGCAAAUCCGAAGCCAAAUGAAAGAGCGGCCCCUUUGAGGGCGGCUCUGUGGCAGGCAGCAGGAAGCUGCCACAAAGCGAACAGCGAACGGCGACGAUUGCAAUUGUCUGCAACUGCGUCUGCGUCUGCGACUGCGUCUGCGUCAGCGGCUAAAAUGAAAGGCUAAAAUGUGAGGCAAAUGAUAGACAGCCAACUGUCUGAGCUGACUGGGCGGCCAGCUCUGCUGUGGGUCUGCCCCCACCACAUCCCACUUCAUCUCGCUGCUUGCAACGGAAGCGCAAAAAUAGAAAAUAAUUUUGAACUUUGGCGGCGGCGUUUGACUUAUUGCCUACUGAUUUGCAGACAAAUCAGUUUGGCUCCGGGGCAGUGCCACAUGUGCCACAUGUUGCACGUCCGAGCCCCGAGUCCGAGUCUGAGGAGUCCGUGUGUGGGUGUUGCAUAUAAAUAAAUUGUAAUUUGGUUUGGCACAGGAUGCACAUCAUGUGCCUACAAGUUCGAGUGCUCGCACUCAACACAGCUCGACUAGCGCCAGCUGCGCUCCAAAGAGAAAGUGAGUGUUUGUUAAAAUUUGACAGGUUCAUUUGACAACAGGCCGCGUCUACGUGCACAAGUACUUAUCUACACACUCGCACACACACGCACACUCGCCUCAACUCGUGAUUAUAAAUGAAAUUGAAAGCAUUUACAAUAUAUCUUAAUAAAUCAGCGCGCACAAGCACUCAAUUUAA